GUUUUUUAAGAAAAUGCCACAAAAGGCCAUUAUUUUUUAUAAAGAAAGGCAAAAUCCCGCUCACCCAAUUUGGUUACCCGCUCGUUAACCAAAUCCCCAAAUACAAAUUUGUAUUUAUUUCUUUUUCUCUUUUACUUUCAAAAUUUGAAUUCACCCACCAUAGCUACUCCUUUUCUAUCGAUCUGUUAGGGUUUUGGAGAAACAAAUAGAUAUUGAAGAGAAGGAGAACGAGGAAGAAGAAGAAGAAGAAGAGGAAGAGAAGAGGGGGGAGGAGGAAGAAGAAGAGAGUGAAGAUGAAAGGACUAAAAAGGUCAAAGGUAGUAGUAGAAAGGGGAGUUCUAGGAAAUCUGGUCGAGAUUCGGCUGAGAAGAAAGAGCCAGUGACGCCUAGUAGUGAUAGGCCUACAAGGGAAAGGAAAGUCGUAGAAAAGGCUCCGUGGUUUCUUUUGGAAGGCAGCCAGAAUAGCAAGCAGGCUAAAAUUCAUGGGGGCUGUUCUGAGCUUGGCUGCACCAAGGAGUUCGAUAAAUGACUGCAACGAGGUCUUACAAAGUGGAACGUGCAAGAAAAAUAAGUCCUCAUGCUUGAAUAAAGAUAACUCAAGAUUGAUUCCUUGUCUUCCUGAUGAGAUGUCAUUGCAGAUCCUUGCUCGAAUUCCUAGAAUUCACUACUUCAAUUUAAGGUUGGUGUCACAGAAGUGGAAGGCGACUGUUAUGAGAUUUUUAAAUAGUAUUGUUCAUGGUCACUGAACUUUGUUGUUACUGCAUGGCUUGCACUAUUUAUUUCUGAUGCUGUAACUCGUUUCAGUGGCUUUCAAGUUGUCAAAGAACCUUCAAACUACAUGUUUUAUUGGAGAUUUUAGUGAAGGUAUCUCAGCUGACUUGGGGUUAUCUCUGUUAUUGAAGCUUACAAAAUCUCCAAAAUCAUUGAUGACUCAAUUCUAGAAGACUCCAAGUCUGGGCAAGUUGUGUGUCAAACCUGAAGAUUGAAUUUUGUAGAUGUUCAAAUCAUAAGCACCCAUUCAAGCAUUUAUAGCAGAAAAUUAAGUAAAAUUUUUGUUAAGGAUAGCUUUGAAGAUUCAUUAUAUUAACUUCUGUAAGUACUUUGAAUGAAGUUUUAGCUUUUCUUGUCGAUAAUCAGGAGAGUAUGACGCUUUGUUAUA